rnacentral:lncRNA from 1 species
UGGAGGGCUGGCCUUUGACUCUGGAUAAGAAGACAGAUGCGGUGGUGGGGUGGGGAGGACUCUAGAAGACCAGGCGGGGCUUCUGGGGGCCAAAGGGAAGGACCAGCUGCUGGGGCAGGAGGGGCUUUCCGGUCAGCGGCCUGGGGUGGCUUGGUUUUGAAUUUCCGCUCUGCGGGCCACGUCCUGUACACAGCCUCUCAGCCGGCACGUCUGCACACGUGCAUGACUGCUGAGAAUGGGGGUCACCAUCACCUCUGUGUAUCUUUUCCAUUGUGUGGGUAGACAGUGCUGGACUGGGGAGUGGUGAGCUUUCCAGCUGGGCCUGGACCUGCAGCCCUAGUGGGCUCAGACCCGCUGUCUGGAUGUCCCUGCACCUAGCUAAUGGAGGCAUAACCUGCUCUUGUAGGAACCUGCAGAUGCUGGGCAGCCUUCUUGUGGGGUCCUCCAGGGUUCUGCCUGGCCAUCCCUGAAGUGCCCACUGGGCCUGCAGCCCACUCGCCUGGGCCUCUGGCUCCCUCUUCCCUCUCACUCCUUCUGGGGUCCUCUCUGUCUUUCGUUGGCUGUCUCCCUGUCUCUCUGUCUCUUUUUCCAUUUAGCUAUCUCUGGCUGGUUGGCCAUCGCUGUCUCUCAGCUCUCUGGUUGUCUGUCUCUCUCUGUCUCCCUGUCUGAAUGUGUAUCCACCUUCUUCUGUGUGUAUUUUCCUGUUGGUGUACCUUUAUAUCCAUCUGCAUUUCUCUAUCUCCCUGUGCCUCUCUGUCUCUUUUUCUGUCCAGAUCAGUAUUCAUGCACUGCAUGUAUGUGUUUUCUGCCCUUCCUCUUUCCUUGCCCCUCUCUUCCCUCCCUCUGCCGCUCUGCUUCUGCCUGACAUUGAAUGGUGCCUCUCCUCCAGGCCAACCUUGCCUUUAGCCCCUCCCCCCUUCCACUGGGGUCUCCAAUGAGUCCUGAGCUGCCCCAGGCCCCUGCUCCAGCUUUCCUUGGGGCCAGAAGUCCGGCUGUCCAAAUAUUUGGCCGCCUCCAGGGGAUUCCGGGUCAGCAGGGAGGAGGAUGGGCUGGCUGGCUCGGGGUCUCCCCUGCCCCUGGGGGGCCACAGGCACGUGAUGUCCUGUCCUUUGCCUUGGCUGGGCCUCCAGCUGCACGUCCCUCUCAGCGGGCUGGCAAUGGGGGGAGGGGGCUGCUGCUGGCUCUGGCCCAGUCUUGACCAAGAGGUUCCAGCUGCAGCCUCCACUGGGGGAGCAAGGAGGGUCCUGGGCUGGGUGGGAGGGGAGGCCUAGGGGUCUGGGGCAAGGUCCAACUCCAGGCAUCUGUUGGGUGUCUAGCAAAUGUACCCUGUCACAGGAAAGUCCAACUUCCGGCCCCAGCUGGGCCCCUCAGAUCCUCCUAGACACUUCCGGAUGCCCAGAACACAGAAGCACAGACCCCACACACCAGGGCCAAGGAGCUAAACUAUGAGGGAUCGGUGUUGCCAACACAUCAAUGUUCUGGGCCAUCUUCCUUUCCUUGGAUGUGCCCUCUCCUCCAUACCACCCCCCUCAGUACCAGCCAGGUGUUGACCUUGCAGUGGCCAUUUGCCCAGUGUUGUUGAUGAUGAAGGAGCAGUGGAAGGGGUACUGGAUCUACCGAGGUCAAAAUCUGGAGUUGUGCGUCUGGAGGAAGAGCUAGGGGUGCACAGGGCUGUAGUAUUCUCCCCUGUUCAGAACACCCUUCCAUAUGCCCUAGCCCUAGCCCCCUGACCUCAGCAAUGAUCUCCUCACCAAUCCCUGGGGCUGUGCCUUGAGAACAUAUAAUUCAGACAUGUCCAUUGAAUCUAGUUUCCUUGUUGACUGACAGCUUGUCCUAAGAUGAUGUUCUCCUUCUGAAGCCUGGAGAAGAAGGUGGGCAGGGAGUGCCAAGAUAGGAGGGGCACCUUGUCUCAGCCAGGAGGGGACUAAGGAUGGCUGAGCUGGAACUGAGAGCAGCCUUCAUCCCUGAGCCUCCAGGGAUAACCACAACAGACCCUCAGGCCAGACCAGCUGCCUCUCCCCUGAGAUCUGGGCUGAGGCUAGGACUUCCCAGGCACCAGAAGCCUGGGGACCAUGGCAACAAGUUCUAUGGGGUCUGUGCCUCGAUCAGCACAGACGGCCAGGAAGGACUGAGGGAAGAACAGUGUGGAUGCCUCCCUGUAGCCAGCCUGACACUGCAGACCCAUUUAUGUCCCUGAGCAUUAGGGAGGAAAGCAGGGCUCAAGUCCCUGGUGGUUCCAAGGACCUCAAUCCUGGGACAGAGAGGUAUGUGUCCUACAGCAGCUGAUGCAAGCAGUGGGCCUGUGGUGGCCUGGAUUCCUGGGCCUCGAAAUCUUUAAUUAGCCAAACUCAACACCUGCCAAGGUGUGCCUGACAAGUUCUCACCCUGUGAUGCCCGCGUGGGCGAGCGUUACCUACUGCACUAUCCCUGUGGCUCCUGGCCUCUCCUAGCCCUUAUCUCCCAGCAGAGCAAACAGGGCCCAGGGCAGUGGCCCAGGCCAUCGAUUUCCUGCCCAAGUCCAUUCUGCACCCAUGACCGAUGCUAUUCUGAUGAUCUGCCCAAGGUCGCAGUGACAGCCCCACACUAGAACCUGACCCCUCUCUGGAAGCCCAUGGCAUGGUCUGGGACAAAGGCCUUGGAGAGGAUCCUCACUCUGUCCCCAGCUUUGCCAAACUUCUGGGGACCUCUGCAGGGCAGGAGGACACUGAGGUCCUGAGUGGGGAAUACUCUACCCGUGGUCACACAGUAAGGCAGGGCCAGGCCAGGACUCAGACUCCGAAUGUCCACUGUGGACUUUCUCAACAGUGGGUCAGAUUCUGCUGGCAGAUUUCCCUGAGUCCACCCUGACUCCCUGAUACAAAGGAGCCUGGGAGGUGGUAGGCCUGAGGGAUGGGAACUGUCAGAAAUGGGCUGCCAGCCUCAGGGAAUGGCUGAGAGUCCACAUGCCAGGCUAGCACUCCACUCUGGCUGCUUAGCCCUUAGCCCUGCCCUACACUGAAGUACAGACUCAUUGACCUGGCCUUCAAGGCUUUGUCAGGUUUGUCUAUAGCCAUGGAACCUUCAUUCUGCCUCAUACCACACCUUAGAGCCUUUGCCCAUGCUGUGCCCUCUGCUUAAGGCAUUCUUUGCUAUUCCACACUUUUGGGACUCCUGGAAUUUCAGAAAUGGCUCCAUCACCUCCUCUGCCAGGAAGCCUUCCUUGAUGCCUCUCUCCCCCCUUUUUUGAGUCCCAGCACUAUGUGGCUCAUAUUUAGUUGUUGCAGGAACUAUAAGGUGGGGGCUAUGUUUGGGGAUUUUGUCCCUUCCAGACCAGAAGCCAUUUAGGGAAGGAUAUUCCAUGUCCUCUCUGGGACCUCAAACCAGCCCAAGAUCCAGCAGUGACUGGUUUUGAGUAUCAGACAGGCUGUGAAGGUCUAGGUGUAGGUCCUGCUGGGGGGAUGGGGAACCUGGAUACAGGAACUCGGGCACUUUGGCCAUGACCAUGCCGUGGGCUGUGGUCUCCCUGGAGGUAGUGCUGGCUGCUAGGGAAGGAUAUUAAGGCAGAGAAGGGUGCUUUGUCCAAGCUGCCAACUCAGCACACUCUGAGGGCCUGUCCCAGCCUGCCCAGGGUGGGAGGCCCGAAAAGGACAACCCUAGCUGAGAGCCAGGGGGCACUCUGGAGUGACUCUGGAGAUGAGGUGCUGGCAUCUCCACAUCCAGCUGGGAUCCUUGGAGAGGUGCUGAUAGUGAGGCUUAGGGCAGAGACUCAUCCAGGGGAAGAGGGCACGAGAGAUGUUCACAUUGUCAUGGACCUGAAUGGACAGGGCUGGAGGUGAGAUGGGUUCAGAUGCCAGCAUCAGAAGAAAGAGAGGCAGGCCGAGGGGGCCCGAGGGUUCCAAGUGUGGAGUCUCCAGGACCGAGGUUCCUGGGAUCUGAACUCUGGCCUGGGGCUGCCUGGGGCAAUGGUGGGCUGGUCCUUUAGUCAGUUCUGUGUGGCUGCUGCCUCCAGGACACUGGGGCCUGAGGCCUGAACCCAGCCUUCUGUCCCCACACAUAGCCCCAAGUGCUAAGAACACUGGUGUUCUGGGUUCUAAGUAGACCUGAGACCAUCAGGAUCCGGAGUGGGGAUGGGGGGUUCAGGGCGGGAUUCAGGAUUCCCAAGCAGAGAGCUUGUCAUGGCACCAAGCCUAGGCUCCGAUAGGGACACCUGGCUGGCUCAGUCAGUAGAGCAGGUCACUCUUGAUCUCAGAGUUGUAUGUUUGAGCCCCAUGUUGAGUGUAGUGAUUACUUAAAAUUAAAAUCUUUUUUUUUAAAUUAAAAUCUUAAAAAAACAAAACAAAAAACAGGCUAGGCUGUGGCUGACCUGCAUGGCAGUGCUGCCCCCUCCCUGGUCUCGACUAGAGUCUUAGCUCUCCUUCUGGCCUCUCUGGCCUUCAGGAUGUCCUUAUAGAUCCUGGGGCACUGUGCCAGGUACCUUCUGGGCAUGGGGUAGGUGGCUUCCAGCCCCAGUGAUUGGGGGGGGGGAGCUGGCUCCUUAGAGGCCCAGCAGAGCCAUGCCCUGAGGGCAGGAAAGGGAGGACUGAUCCAGUGGCCUAGACUCCUCUACAGCUGCCUAAGACCCUGAGUUCCUGGCCUGGGGUUCUAGGAAAUGGAGAAUCUGCUCCAAUGGUCCACUACUGGAGGGUGGUCACCUAAGGGGUAGGGGUAUUCCCCCUAGCCCCUAGCAGGGGAAGAGAAGCUUGAAGGAGAACAUGGCCCUGAGGUCAUGGCUGUGUGGAGAGUGAGGCCUGUGUGGCUCAGAGAAUUCGGCCCUGGGACGCUCGUUUCCUGGAUGGCCCCCUGAGGGCCCUUUGCAGCCAGGCGGGCAGGGCCCAGGUGUCCAGCCACCCAGCACCGCCUCAGGCCUCCUGGCUCCGGGGGGGUAGCCUUUGCGCCUGCCGUUCCCAGCGCCAGCUCUCAGACCACAGAAGGCCCUUUGUUCUGGCUGCCAGCAGUGCCCGCCGGGCGGCUGGGAACAGGGCCCACAGCCCUCACCCUCUCCCAAGGCCUCCAGCCGUCGGGCAGUGCCAUUCUAGGUUGGCUAGGAGGCCCCUGGCACACAGGGCCGGCACAGGAAACCGUCUCCCGGUGUUAAUGUCAGGGAGGGGGUGUCAAUCCAGGGCCCACCACCAGCGCGGGGUCUGGAUUCCUGGGACUCAGCAUCCUGGGGUCCAGGCACCACUGGACUCUGAACUCAGGUCAUCCAGCUGAUCCUCACUUCGCAGAUGGAGAAACUGAGGUCCCAAGGGCUUGCCUGGACUGGUAUGUGAGUGGUGGGGGGAGUGCUACGUACUGGCCAAGGUGUCCCAUCAGGAUGUCUUGGAGAACUCAGGUAUCUGAGCUCUACUCCCCCAAAAGCAGGUCCCGGGGAGGCAGCAGGCACAGCUGCAUGUGCACAUAAAUCCUGAGUGAGCUUCUGGGAGGUGUGAUAGGCUGUAGACUCCCCAUGGGAGGCUGGGCCAUGGGUCCUGGGAGAAGGGAUAACCAGAGGGACCAUUGCUCUGCAGACCUUUGACUUGUGUUGGUGUGAGAGUCAGUGCUCCGGGUGGCAGACCCUGACCAUGGAGGCACCUCUGCAGACGGAAAUGGUGGAGCUGGUGCCCAACGGCAAACACUCAGAGGGGCUGCUCCCAGUCACCACCCCCACGGCUGUCAACCAGAGGUGAGCAGAGGGACCCAGUCGUGGUCAGGGCAGGGCAGGGUGCAGAGCAAGGGCCGGAGCUGAGCUGACUGCUCUGGCCUGUGCCUACAGGGUCGAAGGCCCCAGACGGAGCUGUGUUGAGGGCGAGGGCUUCCUACAGAAAAACCCCAGCAAGGAGCCACACUUCACAGACGUGAGCUGGAGGGCACAGUGGGGUGGGGGGCUUGGGAGAUUUCACGCAGUAACAAAGAGCUCUGGGGCAGCAACGGGAGGUUAAGGGACAGUGAGGGGGAAUGUUGGGAUACCCUCCAUGCGUCGCUGUCUCUCCCCCCUGCCCCCAUCUCACUCUGGUGCCUGCAGUUUGUGGGGAAGACUUCAUUUGGGAUGUCAGUGUUCAACCUCAGCAACGCCAUCAUGGGCAGUGGCAUCCUGGGACUCGCCUAUGCCAUGGCCAACACAGGCAUCGUCCUUUUCCUG